rnacentral:rRNA from 1 species
AGCGUACACGGUGGAUGCCCUGGCAGUCAGAGGCGAUGAAGGACGUGCUAAUCUGCGAUAAGCGUCGGUAAGGUGAUAUGAACCGUUAUAACCGGCGAUUUCCGAAUGGGGAAACCCAGUGUGUUUCGACACACUAUCAUUAACUGAAUCCAUAGGUUAAUGAGGCGAACCGGGGGAACUGAAACAUCUAAGUACCCCGAGGAAAAGAAAUCAACCGAGAUUCCCCCAGUAGCGGCGAGCGAACGGGGAGCAGCCCAGAGCCUGAAUCAGUGUGUGUGUUAGUGGAAGCGUCUGGAAAGGCGCGCGAUACAGGGUGACAGCCCCGUACACAAAAAUGCACAUACUGUGAGCUCGAUGAGUAGGGCGGGACACGUGGUAUCCUGUCUGAAUAUGGGGGGACCAUCCUCCAAGGCUAAAUACUCCUGACUGACCGAUAGUGAACCAGUACCGUGAGGGAAAGGCGAAAAGAACCCCGGCGAGGGGAGUGAAAAAGAACCUGAAACCGUGUACGUACAAGCAGUGGGAGCCUCUUUUAUGGGGUGACUGCGUACCUUUUGUAUAAUGGGUCAGCGACUUAUAUUCUGUAGCAAGGUUAACCGAAUAGGGGAGCCGAAGGGAAACCGAGUCUUAACUGGGCGUUAAGUUGCAGGGUAUAGACCCGAAACCCGGUGAUCUAGCCAUGGGCAGGUUGAAGGUUGGGUAACACUAACUGGAGGACCGAACCGACUAAUGUUGAAAAAUUAGCGGAUGACUUGUGGCUGGGGGUGAAAGGCCAAUCAAACCGGGAGAUAGCUGGUUCUCCCCGAAAGCUAUUUAGGUAGCGCCUCGUGAAUUCAUCUCCGGGGGUAGAGCACUGUUUCGGCAAGGGGGUCAUCCCGACUUACCAACCCGAUGCAAACUGCGAAUACCGGAGAAUGUUAUCACGGGAGACACACGGCGGGUGCUAACGUCCGUCGUGAAGAGGGAAACAACCCAGACCGCCAGCUAAGGUCCCAAAGUCAUGGUUAAGUGGGAAACGAUGUGGGAAGGCCCAGACAGCCAGGAUGUUGGCUUAGAAGCAGCCAUCAUUUAAAGAAAGCGUAAUAGCUCACUGGUCGAGUCGGCCUGCGCGGAAGAUGUAACGGGGCUAAACCAUGCACCGAAGCUGCGGCAGCGACACUAUGUGUUGUUGGGUAGGGGAGCGUUCUGUAAGCCUGUGAAGGUGUGCUGUGAGGCAUGCUGGAGGUAUCAGAAGUGCGAAUGCUGACAUAAGUAACGAUAAAGCGGGUGAAAAGCCCGCUCGCCGGAAGACCAAGGGUUCCUGUCCAACGUUAAUCGGGGCAGGGUGAGUCGACCCCUAAGGCGAGGCCGAAAGGCGUAGUCGAUGGGAAACAGGUUAAUAUUCCUGUACUUGGUGUUACUGCGAAGGGGGGACGGAGAAGGCUAUGUUGGCCGGGCGACGGUUGUCCCGGUUUAAGCGUGUAGGCUGGUUUUCCAGGCAAAUCCGGAAAAUCAAGGCUGAGGCGUGAUGACGAGGCACUACGGUGCUGAAGCAACAAAUGCCCUGCUUCCAGGAAAAGCCUCUAAGCAUCAGGUAACAUCAAAUCGUACCCCAAACCGACACAGGUGGUCAGGUAGAGAAUACCAAGGCGCUUGAGAGAACUCGGGUGAAGGAACUAGGCAAAAUGGUGCCGUAACUUCGGGAGAAGGCACGCUGAUAUGUAGGUGAAGUCCCUCGCGGAUGGAGCUGAAAUCAGUCGAAGAUACCAGCUGGCUGCAACUGUUUAUUAAAAACACAGCACUGUGCAAACACGAAAGUGGACGUAUACGGUGUGACGCCUGCCCGGUGCCGGAAGGUUAAUUGAUGGGGUCAGCGCAAGCGAAGCUCUUGAUCGAAGCCCCGGUAAACGGCGGCCGUAACUAUAACGGUCCUAAGGUAGCGAAAUUCCUUGUCGGGUAAGUUCCGACCUGCACGAAUGGCGUAAUGAUGGCCAGGCUGUCUCCACCCGAGACUCAGUGAAAUUGAACUCGCUGUGAAGAUGCAGUGUACCCGCGGCAAGACGGAAAGACCCCGUGAACCUUUACUAUAGCUUGACACUGAACAUUGAGCCUUGAUGUGUAGGAUAGGUGGGAGGCUUAGAAGUGUGGACGCCAGUCUGCAUGGAGCCGACCUUGAAAUACCACCCUUUAAUGUUUGAUGUUCUAACGUUGACCCGUGAUCCGGGUUGCGGACAGUGUCUGGUGGGUAGUUUGACUGGGGCGGUCUCCUCCUAAAGAGUAACGGAGGAGCACGAAGGUUGGCUAAUCCUGGUCGGACAUCAGGAGGUUAGUGCAAUGGCAUAAGCCAGCUUGACUGCGAGCGUGACGGCGCGAGCAGGUGCGAAAGCAGGUCAUAGUGAUCCGGUGGUUCUGAAUGGAAGGGCCAUCGCUCAACGGAUAAAAGGUACUCCGGGGAUAACAGGCUGAUACCGCCCAAGAGUUCAUAUCGACGGCGGUGUUUGGCACCUCGAUGUCGGCUCAUCACAUCCUGGGGCUGAAGUAGGUCCCAAGGGUAUGGCUGUUCGCCAUUUAAAGUGGUACGCGAGCUGGGUUUAGAACGUCGUGAGACAGUUCGGUCCCUAUCUGCCGUGGGCGCUGGAGAACUGAGGGGGGCUGCUCCUAGUACGAGAGGACCGGAGUGGACGCAUCACUGGUGUUCGGGUUGUCAUGCCAAUGGCACUGCCCGGUAGCUAAAUGCGGAAGAGAUAAGUGCUGAAAGCAUCUAAGCACGAAACUUGCCCCGAGAUGAGUUCU